rnacentral:rRNA from 1 species
UACAGAGGUCUCGAGCGUUAAUCGGAGUUACUGGGCUUAAAGGGUGCGUAGGCGGCGCUGUAAGUGCUUUGUGAAAUCCCCGGGCCUAACCUGGGAACUGCAUUUGUGACUGCAUAGCUAGAGUCUGUCAGAGGGGGGUGGAAUUCCACGUGUAGCAGUGAAAUGCGUAGAGAUGUGGAAGAACACCGAUGGCGAAGGCAGCCCCCUGGGAUGAGACUGACGCUCAUGUACGAAAGCGUGGGGAGCAAACAGG